AGAGGCAGCGGCUCAGCAGAAGGCAGCUCAACAGCAGGCAGCGAAAGGGAUAACGAAACGGGGGAUACGGGCGGGCGCAGCUGAUAGAAUGGGGGGCGCAAGCACGGCUGCCGGGGCGCAAGCGGGAGGACAGGGACCAACGUCCUUGUUCAUCCUGUCGGAGGAAAACAUCAUCCGCAGGUACACGCGCUUUAUAAUCGAGUGGCCUCCUUUCGAAUAUGCCGUGCUUUUGACAAUCAUAGCGAACUGCGUGGUGCUGGCGCUCGAAGAGCACUUGCCUAGCCAGGACAAGACUAUGCUAGCACUGAAACUAGAAAAAACGGAAACUUACUUUUUAGGUAUCUUUUGCGUAGAAGCGUCAUUGAAAAUACUAGCGUUAGGUUUCGUACUGCAUAGAGGAUCGUACCUAAGGAACAUUUGGAAUAUCAUGGAUUUUUUUGUUGUACUUACAGGGUUUGUGACGAUGUUUACUCUGGAUGUCGAUGCUGUGGAUCUGCGCACCUUACGCGCUAUACGAGUACUAAGACCUCUCAAGCUAGUCUCUGGUAUCCCUAGUCUGCAAGUAGUUUUAAAAUCCAUCAUCAAGGCAAUGGCCCCAUUGCUACAGAUAGGGCUACUGGUGCUAUUUGCCAUCGUUAUUUUUGCUAUUAUUGGUUUAGAAUUUUAUUCGGGUGCGUUGCACAGAACAUGCUACAGUUUAUAUGACAUAGAUGAAAUAGUAAAGGAGGGCGACAGUGAAGUUCCUUGUAAUUCGGACAACAUGACUCAGGCGCUGAAACAAGGCAGCAACUGGUGUCGUGAUGGUAAUUCUUUGUGCCUUGAAAGGUGGCAGGGUCCCAAUAAUGGCAUUACUUCCUUCGAUAACAUAGGCUUUGCUAUGCUCACCGUUUUCCAAUGCAUCACCAUGGAGGGAUGGACCGCUAUACUUUACUGGAUGAACGAUGCAGUUGGUAGUCAUUGGAACUGGAUGUAUUUUGUUCCCCUAAUAGUCCUCGGUUCUUUCUUCAUGCUUAACUUAGUACUCGGUGUAUUAAGCGGAGAAUUCGCUAAAGAAAGGGAAAAGGUAGAGAAUAGACAGGAAUUUUUAAAGUUAAGAAGAGCCGCUCAAUUGGAGAGAGAACUGAACGGGUAUGUCCAGUGGAUAUGUAAAGCAGAGGAGGUAAUACUGGCUGAAGAGAGAACGACCGAAGAAGAGAAGAUGCACAUAAUGGAAGCUAGAAGGAGGGCAGCCAAAAAGAAGAAACUGCGGAAAAUUGGAAAAAGUAAAAGCACUGAUACGGAAGAAGAAGAACAGGAAGAAGACAUGGCAGACGAUGUAUUUCUUACAGAGUCUAAGAAAAAGCUAAAAGGUUUCGGCAAAACUGGCUAUCUCAAAUCUAGAGUAAAGAACCAGGGAGGUUGUGCAGGCUUUUGGAGGGCAGAAAAGAGGCUCAGGUUCAAAAUCAGACACAUGGUAAAAGCACAAUGGUUUUAUUGGUUCGUAAUCGUUCUCGUAUUCUUCAAUACCCUUUGCGUUGCCGUGGAAUACCAUGGACAACCGGAUUGGCUGACUCGUUUCCUUUUUUAUGCGGAAUACGCUUUUUUGUGCCUCUUCAUGUCGGAGAUGUUUAUCAAAGUGUACGCGCUUGGACCGCGAAUUUAUUUCGAAUCGGCUUUUAAUCGUUUCGAUUGCGUAGUGAUAAUGGGUUCAGUUUUUGAAGUGGUAUGGUCGGCAGUGAAGGGGGGCUCGUUCGGUCUAUCGGUGUUAAGGGCUCUUCGACUAUUACGAAUUUUCAAAGUUACCAAGUAUUGGUCCUCGUUACGGAACUUGGUGAUAUCGUUACUGAAUUCGAUGCGGUCCAUCAUCUCGUUGUUGUUUCUUCUGUUUCUUUUCAUACUUAUAUUCGCGCUUCUCGGGAUGCAACUUUUUGGAGGACAGUUCAAUUUUGAUUCCGGCACUCCACCGACUAAUUUCAACACGUUUCCCAUCGCUCUGUUAACCGUUUUCCAGAUUUUAACUGGCGAAGACUGGAACGAGGUCAUGUACCAGGGGAUCGAGGCCCAAAAUGGCGGAAUGAUUUAUUCACUUUACUUUAUCGUACUCAUGUUGUUCGGUAAUUAUACACUGUUGAACGUGUUCUUGGCCAUCGCCGUUGAUAACUUGGCGAACGCUCAAGAACUAACUGCAGCAGAAGAAGAACAAGCGGAAGAGAACAAGGAGAAACAGGCACUCGAAUUGGAAAAAGAAAUGGAAGCGCUGCAAAUGGAGGGGACGCCACCGAAAGUAGAAAUAUGUCCUCCCAGUCCAAACGCACGCGGAAAAAAGAAGAAGGAAGAAAAACCUCCACAGGAAGAGGAGGAAGAAAUAAUUGGACCGAAACCAAUGCUGCCCUAUUCUAGCAUGUUCAUACUUUCUCCCACAAAUGUAAUAAGAAGAGGCGCUCACUGGGUUGUGAACCUGCGAUAUUUCGACUUUUUUAUCAUGAUAGUCAUUUGUCUCAGUUCUAUCGCAUUAGCGUGCGAAGAUCCCGUCAAUGAAAAGUCCUUCCAGAACAGCAUCCUCGAUCAGUUCGAUUACGCGUUUACUGGAGUUUUUGCCGUCGAAAUGUUCCUCAAGAUCGUCGACUUGGGUAUCAUUUUGCAUCCCGGCUCCUACUUACGAGAAUUUUGGAACAUCAUGGACGCUGUAGUCGUCAUAUGUGCUCUCGUAUCGAUGGGGUUCGAUUUUGCGAAAAGCGACGCCGGCGCCAACUUGUCUACGAUUAAAUCUCUGCGAGUGCUGCGUGUUCUUAGACCUUUAAAAACAAUUAAACGUGUACCUAAACUGAAAGCCGUAUUCGAUUGCCUCGUGAACUCUUUAAAAAAUGUGAUAAACAUUUUAAUAGUAUAUAUACUGUUUCAGUUUAUAUUUGCCGUGAUAGCAGUGCAACUGUUCAAUGGAAAAUUUUAUCAUUGUACCGACGCGAGCAAAUUCACUAAAGAAACCUGCCAGGGCCAGUAUUUUGUCUACGAAGAGGACAGCGAUGUUCCACAGGUCGAAGUUCGCGAAUGGAAACCACAAUGUUUUACGUACGAUGAUGUGGCCAAGGCAAUGCUCACAUUAUUCGCUGUGCAAACAGGAGAGGGCUGGCCUCAAGUACUCCAAAAUUCCAUGGCUGCGACUUACGAAGACCGAGGGCCUAUUCAAAAUUUUCGAAUAGAAAUGUCCAUUUUCUAUAUCGUCUACUUCGUAGUGUUUCCAUUCUUCUUUGUAAAUAUAUUCGUGGCCUUAAUUAUAAUCACGUUCCAAGAACAGGGCGAAGCCGAAUUGCAAAGCGGAGAAAUCGAUAAAAAUCAGAAAUCAUGCAUAGACUUUACUAUCCAAGCUAGGCCGCUUGAACGCUACAUGCCGACCAAGAGGAACAGCUUCAAAUACAAAAUUUGGAGGAUCGUCGUUUCUACCCCAUUUGAGUAUUUCAUCAUGAUGCUUAUCGUAUUCAAUACGCUACUGCUUAUGAUGAAGCAAGACAAGCAGAGCAAAUCCUUCACCGAUAUUCUUAAGUACCUCAACUGGGCAUUCACAAGUCUGUUCACAGUGGAAUGCGUACUCAAGAUUCUUGCCCUAGGCGCACGGUACCACGAUGCUCCACCUUUGCUAUCUGACAUCCUGGCUGCCAUGAACAUUCUGUUUACCUUCCUAUUUCUUUGCGAAACGGUUCUCAAGCUGAUCGCCUUCGGGAUAAAGAAUUUCUUUAAAGACCCAUGGAACACCUUUGACUUCGUCACAGUCAUUGGAAGCAUAGUGGACGCAAUGGUUGUGGAAUUUGGGGAAAACUUCAUAAACGUCGGAUUCCUGAGACUUUUUCGUGCUGCAAGACUCAUUAAAUUAUUAAGGCAAGGUUACACCAUUCGCAUUUUACUUUGGACCUUCGUUCAAAGUUUUAAAGCUUUGCCUUACGUUUGUCUACUAAUUGCAAUGCUGUUCUUCAUUUAUGCAAUAAUUGGCAUGCAGGUGUUCGGCAAUAUACAGUGCAAUCCCAAGGAAUCUAUAAACAGGCAUAAUAAUUUCCGAAACUUUAUUCAAGGCCUUAUGUUACUUUUUCGAUGUGCAACGGGAGAAGCUUGGCCAAGUAUAAUGUUGUCAUGUAUAGAAGGACAACCUUGCGAUCCUGAAGCUAACAAAGAACCAAACAGUUGCGGGUCCAAUUUGGCUUACGGAUAUUUCGUUUCGUUCAUAUUUUUCUGUUCAUUCUUGAUGCUUAAUUUAUUCGUGGCAGUAAUCAUGGAUAAUUUCGAUUAUUUAACACGAGACCCGUCCAUCCUAGGAGCUCAUCAUCUGGACGAAUUUGUUCGCAUUUGGGCUGAAUACGAUCCAAAUGCUACGGGUAAAAUUACGUACCAGGAGAUGUAUGAUAUGUUAAAAAAUAUGGACCCUCCCUUAGGAUUCGGAAACAAAUGCCCCAAUCGUUUGGCGUAUAAAAAACUCAUAAGAAUGAACAUGCCGGUUGACGAAGAGGGUAAAGUUGCCUUUACAACAACUCUCUUUGCCCUCAUAAGAGAAAAUCUGAAUAUUAAGAUGAGACCAGCGGAGGAAAUGGAUCAAGCCGAUGAAGAAUUAAGAGACACUAUAAAGACCAUUUGGCCCCUACAAGCGAAGAAUAUGUUGGAUCUUCUUGUGCCUCCCAGAAACCAACUUAAUACGGGAAAAUUGACGGUAGGAAAAAUUUACAGUGGUCUCCUCAUCUUAGAAAAUUGGAGAACAACAAAGUUCGGUCAAAUCGAACCCACAGGAAUUCCGGAAUACGGAAAUAGUUCAGCAGCGAAUCACGCGAAAGCGUCGUUUUUUGACUGCAUAAUGGAUAUGGCGGGACACCUGAACGAGAGUCGAACAGGGUCCCUAAGUAUGGAAGGUGCACCCUUGAUGGCUGGUCAGGAUUCCUCUGAAACACAUCAUCUACACCAACACGAAGAAAGUUCGCUUGUUUCGCUGGCCCGUCGCAAUACCAAAAAACGAUCGUUUAGGAAUAAAAAGGUGAUGGAACACCACGAUAACAUGGGAUCUCGCCAACCCUCUUGUGAUAGUUUAGCGGACCAGCAACAACACCUUCAUCCUCCUACAUAUAGCAAUUCUCAUCAUAAAUCUCCCAGUAUCAGAAGGGGCAAUUCCCCUUCGUUAGCCCGAAGUCCCUCGCCUGGUAAACGUUAUCAACACCAUCUUCAUCACGACAUCGGUUUUUCGGACACCGUUUCAAACGUAGUAGAAAUCGUCAAGCACGAACAUCAUAGAUCACACUCCAACAAAAGCAAAUUUAUUAGAGGAUCGUGGUCAGCAUCGACGAGUCCGGCUAGGUCUCCUUCGCCAAUGAACGAACACUCUUCUCGGCGUUUAUCUCGACAUGAGAUCGUUCGCAAUUCAAGUCGAAGGGCAUACGGUACCACUAGCUUGUGUCAGAGGUCACGAUCUCCUAGUCCGGGACAUCAUCCCCACGCAACUUCUCCAAAUGACAUGUGUUCCUCACACAAUAAGUUGUCUACAAAGUGUCCUCCUGCUCCUGUAUUUGGUCUGCCAAUGCAGCAAUCAGCAGCUCAUCAGGGGAGCAUGCAACAUAGCCAUCCUGUAUUAGGUGGACGAAGAGGCCAAGGUAGAAGACUACCACCGACUCCUUGUAAACCUUCUACACUUCAAUUACGACCAGGUCCCAUCAACUUUCCCAAGUUGAACGCGUCACCUACACACGUGCAGUCUCAUUCGGCCCAUACGACUCCCCACAGCUAUGUGAGAGAGCGCGAACCGCUUCGAGAAAUCGUGCCAACGACGUAUGACAGUUCGACACAUGCACCAAUGAGCUUCGAGCAAGCGGUGGCUCUAGGUAGGGGAGGACGAAUGUUGCCAAGUCCAGUGCCGAAUGGCUAUAAGCCAAAGCCUUCUCGUUCGCGUAAUUCCGAUUCGGACGAAGACGAUUGGUGCUAACGAAAGUGUUCCGUUACCACAGACUUAAAAAAAUAAACCGCAUUUAAUAUAAAUAAAAGAAGAAGAAAUGGACAGUGGAUGAAAUUCGCGAGACAUACAUAUAACAACUUCCGGAUUAUUGAUUAUGGAAUUGAAGGAUUGAUGUGCUCAUAUUUUUGGCUUCUUUCCGCCAAAAAAAAAAUUGAUUGUAACAACUACCGGUUCCAUAAUUUGGUAUGUAAGCAGCAUGUUGUCUUGUGCAGAACGAAUACGAUUGUUAAAAUUUUUGUAAAAGAAAUCGAAAAUGAUACCGAGAACCCUUUAUUUUUCAUUGAAAGCAAAAAGUUGAUGCUAAACGUUGAAUAAAGAUUUUCCGCAGGUCUACGGUGCCAUUUUCGCAAUUGCGAGAAAAAUAUACAAUAAGCCAUAAAAAGGUUUCUUUAAAAUUGUUACUUUCUAGGAGUUUAUGUAAUUAAUUAAUAUUUUACCUUUGUCCAAUAGAAAUUAAAUUAGUGUUAAACCAUUAUCGUCGCUUUAAGCAACUUUUUUAAAUAAAAAUGGUUACAUCUAAUUGAUUCUAACCGCAUUAUCUUUUUUGUUAUUUUCAAUUAAAUGAAAUUUCAACAAGAUGUGUUUAUU
rnacentral:misc_RNA from 1 species